rnacentral:rRNA from 1 species
UACGUGAGGGUGCGAGCGUUAAUCGGAAUUACUGGGCGUAAAGCGUGCGCAGGCGGUUCGUUGUGUCGGCGGUGAAAGCCCCGGGCUCAACCUGGGAAUGGCCGUUGAAACUGGCGAACUGGAGUGUGGCAGAGGGGGGUGGAAUUCCGCGUGUAGCAGUGAAAUGCGUAGAGAUGCGGAGGAACACCGAUGGCGAAGGCAGCCCCCUGGGCUGACACUGACGCUCAGGCACGAAAGCGUGGGGAGCAAACAGG